AUACGGAGGGUGCAAGCGUUAUCCGGAAUCAUUGGGUUUAAAGGGUCCGUAGGCGGAUAAUUAAGUCAGGGGUGAAAUCCCACAGCUCAACUGUGGCACUGCCUUUGAUACUGGUUAUCUUGAGUUAUAGGGAAGUAGAUAGAAUAUGUAGUGUAGCGGUGAAAUGCAUAGAUAUUACAUAGAAUACCGAUUGCGAAGGCAGUCUACUAUCUGGAUACUGACGCUGAGGCGCGAAAGCGUGGGGAGCAAACAGGAUUAGAUACCCUAGUAGUCC
rnacentral:rRNA from 1 species